rnacentral:rRNA from 1 species
UACGUAGGGCGCAAGCGUUAUCCGGAAUUAUUGGGCGUAAAGAGCUCGUAGGCGGUUUGUCGCGUCUGCCGUGAAAUCCCGAGGCUCAACCUCGGGUCUGCAGUCGAUACGGGCAAACUAGAGUAUUGCAGGGGAGACUGGAAUUCCUGGUGUAGCGGUGAAAUGCGCAGAUAUCAGGAGGAACACCGGUGGCGAAGGCGGGUCUCUGGGCAAUAACUGACGCUGAGGAGCGAAAGCGUGGGGAGCGAACAGG